GCUGGGGGAGGCAGAGCGGGCGGGUGGGUGCCGUUAUGGCCCCGGCUGCAGGCAGCCGCUGCGCUACCGGCAGGAGAAGCGUGGCCCCGGGCCAGCGGGGACCGAGCACGGGGCGGCCCUACCCGUUGCCCGCCCGCUCUGCCGGCCCCGCCCCUCACUCCCGCGCAGCCAAUGAGCGCCAGGAGGUUUUUUGGCGGGGGCGGGCGGUGAGGGCGGGGCCCCCCCGCCAUUUUCUCACCUCAGCCCUCCUCCGGGUGUGUGUGUGUGAGGUAGCGAGCUUGUACCAUGGCAGAGCUCGCCGUGUCGGUCUCCUGCGCGGUGCCGCCUCAGCCUGGCCCCUCGCCUGGAGGGGCGAGGACGAGUCUCCUACGACCGCCAUGUCCCGUCUCUCGUUAAGACGAAGAGACGCUAAGCCCGCGCUCCUGUGUUUAGGCUAACGUAAAUACAAACGCUUUUCCUCUUAUGGGUUUGCUUUUUUUCCGAUGCUGGCGUUCUUGUUUUAAGUCAAGGUAGCGUAGUCGCUAACGCUUUAGUUUCUGGCUGUUCCUCUGUAGUCUGUCUGUAACGCUUAUAAUGGCCUUGAGAUAUUUAAGAGCAUGGGUUCCUGUUACAAUGUAAAGUCAGGACAAGCUGUUCUUUAAAGAUGGAAGUUACUAUGAGGGCAAGCUUGUCAGUGGAGAAAUUAUGGAGAAUGGCUUUCAAUACUGGGCAUCAACAGGGAACACUUAUUCCGGUCAGUUUAUGUUUGGAAAGCUCCAGGGACACAAAGUCUUGUAAUAUAAAGAUGGUGGGAAAUAUGAAGGAGAGUUCUUUUAUAGAAUGAGAGAAGGAAUAAGGAUAAUUAUGAAGGAGCCUGGAUUCUAGACAGCUGUCAAGGUCAUGAAAUAUUGCCUUGUGCUGUACAUGAGGUAUAUAAAGAAGACUUAUGAGAAACUGUACUGAUUUGUUCAGAAAAGCUGAAAGGAUCAUGGUAGAGGAUGCUUCAGGCAGAUAAAUAGAAAAGCAAUUCAGUGAGACGACCUUGAUGUCUGGGACUUAAGGACCAAAUGUGGUUGUGGGGCAGUGGAGAAAUGACGUAUUCGAUGAACGGGGUGCUAUAGUUAAUUGUUCUGGUGACAUCUGUGAUGGACUGUGGAUCAAUGGCUACCCUGCUGAUAUGAAUGUAUCACCUCAAAGGAAAUGAUCCAAAGAACUUGAAAUACAGCAUAUAUGCAUGUACUCUUGGUGUCAAGCAGCAAAACGUACGGAAUGGAACUCGGAAGAACAGAUCUGUGCAGCAGCCCAUCUUAGGAAUAUUUGCAUGUCAGAAGCUCUACUGUAGGAUGUUAACACUCUAAAAAUGAAAUACUUAAAUCAAAAAAUCAGAAGAAUAUAACUCCCCCGAUUGAUUGAUUUCUAUCUUUAAUAUUAGACUUACUUCUAAUGCUAGGUCAUAUUUUCUGAACCCAGAAUGAAAAUGUUUAUUUUUAGAAGCAUUUUCUAUAAAGGAUUAAGUUUUUGUAGGUUUCAUAAGUGUCACAGUAAAGUGCUUCUUUAAUUCAGUCAAAGUUGAUAGUAAUCAAAAUUCAUAGCUAUGUUCAAACCCUAAAAAAUGUUGUGAUGGUCUGCUUCAUGAUUAGUUAGCAGAUGUUAACUUUAACAGGCCCUUUCUUCUGGCACUGUAAGCUGAACAAUAAGGAAUUGAAUAGGUCUUGAAGAAAUCGUUACACAAUCAUGGAAGUAUUCUCUUCAGAUUACUAUAAGGAUAUAUUUGAAGAGAGAAAAUUUGUGCCGCUCCUGUUCAUUGGAUACUUAGAAGACUUAAUUUUCCCUUUUCUCAGCAGUGCAAUCAUUUACAUUCUGUAUUAAGAAAGCAUGAUAUUCCUGUUUAUCGCUAAAACUUAAUUGUUUUUUAAAUCUUUUUAAACUGCAUUUUUUUGGCAGUCAAGGUUAUUCACAGGACUUCAAUUCAAAGUAAAUGUCUAGAUAAGUAUUUCAGGCAGAACGAUAGCUUAGCUUUUGUGAAGAAACUGCCUUCAUUAAAAGGAGUGAUACCUUCUUUCCAUCCUUCUGGGAAGACAGGUUCGCCUUAAUGUCAUGAUUGUCCAAGCCAGGUAUAGUUGAUAUUGUUUGCUCUGUCUUUGCGAGGCAUUCACCUUCACAAGGAUUGGAGACUCUGGAUGUCUUGGGCAGCAUUUUUAGCUGUACUUUUUUGCUAGCUUUCUGUUGGAACUUUGCAACAAGUUUAUCUACCAAAGCUUCAAGUGAUUUUUACUUAAGUGAACUAUUUAGUUGUUGAGCUGCGUUUGUGUUACUUUACCUGGAACAUAUGAUUGCUUUAAAUUUUACAGUAGUUACACCAGGAGAGAGUCAAGGUCAUAAUUAUUUCCUUCACUUUCUCCUGUUCCCUGAAACAACAAAGAGAGAAGAAAUUUUACAGCUGCUUAAUGCAAGAACCUGCUGUUCUGAAUCUAUUCUUAAAUAAGCAACAUAAAAUUAUGGGCAAAAAAAAUAAUGGGGAGGCUGCAUGGGUGGCCUUUGUCAGAAGAGGCCAGGGGCUGCCCUGUGCUGGAUACUGCAGGUUCCAGCUGGCUCUGCAACGGACCUGCUGCUGGCCUAAGCUGUGCCCGUCAGCAGAGCUGUGGCACCUCUGUGAAAACUUACUUAAGAAAGGGUAAAACAUGCACAACAGUGAGGAGUGAGGGGAAGAAAAGUGUGAGAAACAAUACUGUGGAGACCAAGGUGAGAGAAGGAGGAGGUUCACCAGGUGUCAAAGUAGAUACUUCUCCUGCAGCCUGUAGAAGUUUUGCAAGAAACCAUGGUGGAGCAGGUGUUUCUGUGCAGCCUGUGAAGAGGACUACAGCGGAAGAGAUGAUCACGCUGCAGCCCAUGGAGGACCCCACAUUAGAGCAUGUGGAUGUUUCCUGAAGGAACUGCAGCCUAUGGAAAGCCCAUGCAGGAGCAGGUUCUCCUGACAGGAACUGUGGCUUGUGGAGGACCUGUGUGGGAGCGGGGAAAAACAUGAGGAAGGAGCAGCAGAGAGGGACUGUUACGGACUGACGAUAAUCCCCCAUUCCUCAUCCCCCUGCACCACUCAGGGAGGUAGAGGAGUUGGGAAUGAAGGAGUGAGGUUGAGGCUGGGCGAAAAAGGACAUGAGUUGAGGGGGAAGAUACUGUUUUAAUUUAUCUUUGUUUCUUGCUGUCCAAGCCUAUCUUAAUUUGCAAUAAAUAAUUUUCCCUGA